UUCGAACCUGAAGUUUCGAUAUUGAUAUUACUUUCAUAUGAACAUGAAGUUCUAAACAACAUAAUUAAAUCCAUGAUGAUCGAUGUGGUCUUGAAAAAGAGUCUGAAAGACAUGUAUCUAAUGGUGAAAUAUCCGCUUGAGUUUUGCCAAACAUCGGUUGAUCAGUUACCAAGAGCAUGAUAUGAAUGGACGCUUUUGCGCCUUCUAAUAUGGAUCAUGAUAUGGCUAUAGUUAUGGCUUAACCAUUUUCGGCCCAUUGACGCAUGCCCUAUAAUUUAGUGGCAAUUUACAAAGCCCUCUUUGAAUGGCAAUAAGACCAAAAUUAAUCAUAUUAAUCAGUCUCUUAGGAAAUCUGAGCCAUGAGUAGAUGUCACUUCACCCAAGUUGACAAUGUUUUUGUGGCUAAAUUGAAAUGUUAAAGACAUGAUCAACGGGGGUGUUCUUAACACCGAUUAAUAUUAAGCUUAUCAUAAUGGUAUUUCAGACACCGAGUUUGUCACAUCCCGACCCUUAUAUUUUUACCUUAUUUACUAGCGUGAUUAUAAUAAGAAUUUUACCGUCUCGAUCAUUGAGUAAAUAGUUUAAUUGGUCCCUAGAGGGGUUUCGGGGACGAUUAUGUGCGGAGGAUUAUUAGUAUGAAGAAAAUACGACGACGGUAAAAAUAGUAAAUUUUAGCUAGAAAAAGGUAAUUUUUAUUCGGGUAUUAUUUUUCGGGGUGUUUUUAUUUUGGAAGUUUGGGUUAUAAAUGGUGUGGACCGGUUUGGGGUGUGAGGCCCAAACCCUUUUUCUUUUCUCUCUCCCUCCCUCCCGAUUUUUCUUCUCCUCCCACCCGAUUUUCUUCUCUCUACACCCACCGGUAUUCCGGCCGUCCUCCCGCCGCCGUCCGACCUCCGUUCGCCGCCGGACCGGUCCCGUUCGGUCGGUCUCCCUCCCAGCAACAUUUCUAGACCGGUGAGAGGAGCCCUAGCGNNNNN
rnacentral:lncRNA from 1 species